rnacentral:rRNA from 1 species
GAUGAACGCUGGCGGCGUGCCUAAUACAUGCAAGUCGAGCGAACAGACGAGGAGCUCGCUCCUCUGACGUUAGCGGCGGACGGGUGAGUAACACGUGGAUAACCUACCUAUAAGACUGGGAUCACUUCGGGAAACCGGAGCUAACACCGGACAAUAUAUUGAACCGCAUGGUUCAAUAGUGAACGACGGUUUUGCUGUCACUUAUAGGUGGAUCCGAGCCGCAUUAGCUAGUUGGUAAGGUAACGGCUUACCAAGGCGACGAUGCGUAGCCGACCUGAGAGGGUGAUCGGCCACACUGGAACUGAGACACGGUCCAGACUCCUACGGGAGGCAGCAGUAGGGAAUCUUCCGCAAUGGGCGAAAGCCUGACGGAGCAACGCCGCGUGAGUGAUGAAGGUCUUCGGAUCGUAAAACUCUGUUAGUAGGGAAGAACAAAUGUGUAAGUAACUAUGCACGUCUUGACGGUACCUAAUCAGAAAGCCACGGCUAACUACGUG